CACAUGACAUUAGUAUGAAACGUCGCACGCUACUGGUGUUACUUUGGUAAAAUCACGGACAAGACACAUUCAUCUUAUUAAUUUUUAAACAUAAAAAUUGAUAUUAUAAAGUGUUGUAUAUCAUUUUAAAGCUUUUAAACUCUUCUUUCAGAUUAUUGCAAUUUUGUAUAUGUAACAGACCAUUUUCAUUAAUUAAAACUCAAUAAAACCUUUAUUUUGCAAUAUGAUUUCCUUGUCCCGCGUUACACUUUUAGUUUUGUGAAAUUCUGAAUACCGUAAAAAACAUAUAAAUUUUAUUACCAAACGAUAUAAAAGUUUGUCUAGAACAAGCAAUUCAUAAUUGGGCGAUGACGUAAUGUCGAUUUUUUUUCUCUCGAAAAGACGGAAAUAUAAAAAAAG
rnacentral:lncRNA from 1 species